rnacentral:rRNA from 1 species
UACGUAGGCAGCGAGCGUUGUUCGGAGUUACUGGGCGUAAAGGGUGUGUAGGCGGUUGUUUUAAGUUUGGUGUGAAAUCUCCCGGCUCAACUGGGAGGGUGCGCCGAAUACUGAAUGACUUCGAGUGCGGGAGAGGAGAGUGGAAUUCCUGGUGUAGCGGUGAAAUGCGCAGAUAUCAGGAGGAACACCUAUUGCGAAGGCAGCUCGCUGGGACGUUACUGACGCUGAGGAGCGAAAGCGUGGGGAGCGAACAGG